GAUGAACGCUGGCGGCGUGCCUAAUACAUGCAAGUCGAGCGAACAGACGAGGAGCUUGCUCCUCUGACGUUAGCGGCGGACGGGUGAGUAACACGUGGAUAACCUACCUAUAAGACUGGGAUAACUUCGGGAAACCGGAGCUAAUACCGGAUAACAUGUUGAACCGCAUGGUUCAACAGUGAAAGACGGUUUUGCUGUCACUUAUAGAUGGAUCCGCGCCGCAUUAGCUAGUUGGUAAGGUAACGGCUUACCAAGGCGACGAUGCGUAGCCGACCUGAGAGGGUGAUCGGCCACACUGGAACUGAGACACGGUCCAGACUCCUACGGGAGGCAGCAGUAGGGAAUCUUCCGCAAUGGGCGAAAGCCUGACGGAGCAACGCCGCGUGAGUGAAGAAGGUCUUCGGAUCGUAAAACUCUGUUAUUAGGGAAGAACAAAUGUGUAAGUAACUAUGCACGUCUUGACGGUACCUAAACAGAAAGCCACGGCUAACUACGUG
rnacentral:rRNA from 1 species